rnacentral:rRNA from 1 species
CCUACGGGAGGCAGCAGUAGGGAAUCUUCCACAAUGGGCGAAAGCUUGAUGGAGCGACACAGCGUGCACGAUGAAGGUCUUCGGAUUGUAAAGUGCUGUUAUCAGGGAAGAACGUUUGCUAUAGUAAAUGUUUGCGUAUUGACGGUACCUUCUCAGAAAGCGAUGGCUAACUAGGUGCCAGCAGCCGCGGUAAUACGUAGGUGGCAAGCGUUAUCCGGAAUUAUUGGGCGUAAAGCGUUCGUAGGCGGUUUGUUAAGUCUGGUGGAAAAUCCCGGGGCUAAACGCGGGACCGCGUUUGUUACUAGCAAACUAGAGUGAGAAAGAGGUAAGUGGAACGCAAGGUGAAGCGGUGAAAUGCGUAGAUAUAUGGAAGAACACCAGAGGCGAAGGCAGCUUACUGG